UACGUAGGGUGCAAGCGUUAAUCGGAAUUACUGGGCGUAAAGCGUGCGCAGGCGGUUUUGUAAGUUUGUCGUGAAAGCCCCGGGCUCAACCUGGGAAUUGCGAUGAAGACUGCAAGGCUUGAAUCUGGCAGAGGGGGGUAGAAUUCCACGUGUAGCAGUGAAAUGCGUAGAGAUGUGGAGGAACACGGAUGGCGAAGGCAGCCCCCUGGGUCAAGAUUGACGCUCAUGCACGAAAGCGUGGGGAGCAAACAGG
rnacentral:rRNA from 1 species